GGUAAGACCAACGAAAAUAUAUUUUAGAGCAGGUGCGCCCCGGCCCGCUUAUCUGGUGCGUACAUACGCCUCGUGAUAUGUGCCAGCCGCUACCGUAAGUUUGCCAGGCCACGGUUAUAUCGGUCGGGUUAGCAGGUCCUUCGUCCGUGAUCUCGCCUACUACAUAGCGUAGGGUACUGUUCAUCAGCUAGAAACGAGACAAACAGCUAUGGGACACGGCCCGUGACUCUGGUCUAUAUGCGCCCCCCUUUAUCUCUAGGAGCAGGCUAGCCGGCGGGGGAGGGGGAUUCAGCAGGGGCAGAGAGGCCGAGGGGACCCGAUCCUGAGCGAGACGCAGGAGGUUCUGGUGCGGCGAGGAGGCACCGGGACGGGCGGGCCGCCGGGGAAACCCAGCGCCGGGGCGGCAGCGGGCACCGCCGCCCUCGACAUCUCGCCCAGCCGGCCAUUGUACGGAUCUAUCGAAGGCCAGAUUGGAAACGGAGUUGGGGCAGCAAUAGAUCUCAGGUGUUCAUCUGCAAUCCGUCAUCAUAUGCAGGUAAGAUGGCAGGCUGGCUUGAUCUGUAUUUAUCGAACGGGGUUGGGGCACAUUUACUCUGGCUGUCUUGACUAGUCUUGGUAAGGUGGAUCGAAUGGACAUAUUAGCUGAUACGUUCCUAUCGUGGAUGAAUCAAUGUUUACAGUUAGGCUUUUUGGGUGUAUGGGAUGGGCCAAGGUGCAAGUCUGAAUUUCGACAAUAUGUAAAGCUCACCAAUACAUAAGGGCUAUUAACAGACUAAGGUGUGCGAAUAAGGUGAUCUGACUUGACCGCGCCAUUGCUAUAUUUGACUCUGGAUACAAAUCCUGUACAGCUUCCGAUUUAUCUAUCCAGGGUUCUUCUGACGUGAGGCAGAGAGCAGACCAGAGUCAGUCCAACCUGGAUAAUCAUGCAGGUACUGUAUUCUUGCCCCAGUAUCAGUCGCAGUGUACAUGGGCUUGGUUGUGAAAGGUGUACAGAAAGUGGGUAGUUCUUGGCGCAGAUGACUAGAUUUUGCAGAUUGCAUUUAUGAUGUGCAAAGUACAGCCAUGUACUCCUUGGAUGCAAGAUACAACAUUGGUUGUUUUUGUUCAGUGGAGAGUGCGACACGAUUGAUGAUGUGUGUAGCACGAUUGCGGCAGUACCUCCAUGUCCAUCUAUUUUAAUGUUUAUGGAAAUUAUACUGA